rnacentral:rRNA from 1 species
GAUCAUGGCUCAGGAUGAACGCUAGCUACAGGCUUAACACAUGCAAGUCGAGGGGAAACGACAUCGAAAGCUUGCUUUUGAUGGGCGUCGACCGGCGCACGGGUGAGUAACGCGUAUCCAACCUGCCCACCACUUGGGGAUAACCUUGCGAAAGUAAGACUAAUACCCAAUGAUAUCCCACGAAGGCAUCCGAAUGGGAUUAAAGAUUUAUCGGUGAUGGAUGGGGAUGCGUCUGAUUAGCUUGUUGGCGGGGUAACGGCCCACCAAGGCUACGAUCAGUAGGGGUUCUGAGAGGAAGGUCCCCCACAUUGGAACUGAGACACGGUCCAAACUCCUACGGGAGGCAGCAGUGAGGAAUAUUGGUCAAUGGGCGAGAGCCUGAACCAGCCAAGUAGCGUGCAGGAAGACGGCCCUAUGGGUUGUAAACUGCUUUUAUAGGGGAAUAAAGUGAGCCACGUGUGGCUUUUUGCAUGUACCCUAUGAAUAAGGACCGGCUAAUUCCGUG